GGGGCUGUAGCACAGUUGGUUAAUGCGCUUCAUUUGCAAUGAAGAGAUCGGGGGUUCGAAUCCCCCCAGCUCCA
rnacentral:tRNA from 1 species